rnacentral:rRNA from 1 species
UACAGAGGUCUCAAGCGUUGUUCGGAUUCAUUGGGCGUAAAGGGUGCGUAGGCGGCGCGGUAAGUCGGGUGUGAAAUCUUGGAGCUUAACUCCGAAACUGCAUUCGAUACUGCCGUGCUUGAGGACUGGAGAGGAGACUGGAAUUUACGAUGUAGCGGUGAAAUGCGUAGAUAUCGUAAGGAAGACCAGUGGCGAAGGCGGGUCUCUGGACAGUUCCUGACGCUGAGGCACGAAGGUCAGGGGAGCAAACGGG